CUUAUGUUUUGGUUGUCGCAUCCCCCGCCUAACACGAAGACAUGCGGAAGCACUUGAAAUUUCCGAUGGCAGAAAGCCGCCUGCUCCAUAUGGCGGCUUGAUUGGCAACGGCUGGCUGGCUGGCUGGCUGUCUGUCGGCUUGGCUUGGUUUUAUGGAGCACUGUUUAACGAGGCACGUCUGCUGGCCACGAAAUCUGGCACGUAACUGAAAAAGGUUACCUCAAAAUUGGACCAGCCAAGGGGAUGCUGCGACGCUGACGUCGCUGUCAACGCCGUUUUGCUGUCUGUUUUAUUGUUUGUUGGGGUGAGAGAGAAACAGAGAGCGAGAGCGCGCCGCCUGCGCAUUGCUGCCCACAUUUUAUUCAAAGGGUGCAGCCAGGCAGCUGAAUCAACCCCAAGAGCGCGUGUAGAGUUCUCUCUCGCUCUCGCUCACUCUAACUCUCCAGUUGUAGACUUUACACGCCCGGCAACGGCGACUGCCCGACCGAGUGGCGCCAGCCGGCAAAGUGCCAGCGUUUUGCGCAGCUUAAGCGGCGCAGCGGCAGAGGGCAGCGAACUGGAAGCCACAGGGGCGUAAUCUGAUCGGAGUGAAAAACGGGCUGCGCGGCAAUCCCGUUUAUGCAGCGAGGGAGCGUGCGCAGGGUUUGUUGAAGGAUACAUGCAAUAUUUUGCUCUGUGGUAAAGGAUAUAAAAUGCUAAUAUGGGAGUUACGCACGGGAAAGUUGGCAAACGUAUUUAACGAAAUUAAGAAUCUGAAUAAAUAAUCAAACUUUGUGCACUUUGGUAAAGUACUUGGAAAAA